rnacentral:rRNA from 1 species
AAAUUGAAGAGUUUGAUCAUGGCUCAGAUUGAACGCUGGCGGCAGGCCUAACACAUGCAAGUCGAACGGUAACAGGAAACAGCUUGCUGUUUCGCUGACGAGUGGCGGACGGGUGAGUAAUGUCUGGGAAACUGCCUGAUGGAGGGGGAUAACUACUGGAAACGGUAGCUAAUACCGCAUAACGUCGCAAGACCAAAGAGGGGGACCUUCGGGCCUCUUGCCAUCGGAUGUGCCCAGAUGGGAUUAGCUUGUUGGUGGGGUAAAGGCUCACCAAGGCGACGAUCCCUAGCUGGUCUGAGAGGAUGACCAGCCACACUGGAACUGAGACACGGUCCAGACUCCUACGGGAGGCAGCAGUGGGGAAUAUUGCACAAUGGGCGCAAGCCUGAUGCAGCCAUGCCGCGUGUAUGAAGAAGGCCUUCGGGUUGUAAAGUACUUUCAGCGGGGAGGAAGGGAGUAAAGUUAAUACCUUUGCUCAUUGACGUUACCCGCAGAAGAAGCACCGGCUAACUCCGUGCCAGCAGCCGCGGUAAUACGGAGGGUGCAAGCGUUAAUCGGAAUUACUGGGCGUAAAGCGCACGCAGGCGGUUUGUUAAGUCAGAUGUGAAAUCCCCGGGCUCAACCUGGGAACUGCAUCUGAUACUGGCAAGCUUGAGUCUCGUAGAGGGGGUAGAAUUCCAGGUGUAGCGGUGAAAUGCGUAGAGAUCUGGAGGAAUACCGGUGGCGAAGGCGGCCCCCUGGACGAAGACUGACGCUCAGGUGCGAAAGCGUGGGGAGCAAACAGGAUUAGAUACCCUGGUAGUCCACGCCGUAAACGAUGUCGACUUGGAGGUUGUGCCCUUGAGGCGUGGCUUCCGGAGCUAACGCGUUAAGUCGACCGCCUGGGGAGUACGGCCGCAAGGUUAAAACUCAAAUGAAUUGACGGGGGCCCGCACAAGCGGUGGAGCAUGUGGUUUAAUUCGAUGCAACGCGAAGAACCUUACCUGGUCUUGACAUCCACGGAAGUUUUCAGAGAUGAGAAUGUGCCUUCGGGAACCGUGAGACAGGUGCUGCAUGGCUGUCGUCAGCUCGUGUUGUGAAAUGUUGGGUUAAGUCCCGCAACGAGCGCAACCCUUAUCCUUUGUUGCCAGCGGUCCGGCCGGGAACUCAAAGGAGACUGCCAGUGAUAAACUGGAGGAAGGUGGGGAUGACGUCAAGUCAUCAUGGCCCUUACGACCAGGGCUACACACGUGCUACAAUGGCGCAUACAAGAGAAGCGACCUCGCGAGAGCAAGCGGACCUCAUAAAGUGCGUCGUAGUCCGGAUUGGAGUCUGCAACUCGACUCCAUGAAGUCGGAAUCGCUAGUAAUCGUGGAUCAGAAUGCCACGGUGAAUACGUUCCCGGGCCUUGUACACACCGCCCGUCACACCAUGGGAGUGGGUUGCAAAAGAAGUAGGUAGCUUAACCUUCGGGAGGGCGCUUACCACUUUGUGAUUCAUGACUGGGGUGAAGUCGUAACAAGGUAACCGUAGGGGAACCUGCGGUUGGAUCACCUCCUUACCUUAAAGAAGC